AACGAACGCUGGCGGCAUGCCUAACACAUGCAAGUCGAACGAGACCUUCGGGUCUAGUGGCGCACGGGUGCGUAACGCGUGGGAACCUGCCCUUAGGUUCGGAAUAACUCCCCGAAAGGGGUGCUAAUACCGGUUAAUGUCUUCGGACCAAAGAUGUUUCGCCUUUGGAUGGGCCCUGGUUGGAUUAGCUAGUUGGUAGGGUAAAAGCCUACCAAGGCGACGAUCCAUAGCUGGUCGGUGAGGAUGCUCAGCCGCACUGGGACUGAGACACGGCCCAGACUCGUACGCGAGGCAGCAGUAGGGAAUAUUGGGCAAGGGGCGCUAGCCUGAUCCCGCCACGCCGCGUAAGUGAUGCAGGGGUUAGGGUUGUAAAGCUCUUUUACCCGGGAUGAUAGUGACGGUACCGGGAGAAUAAGCUCCGGCUAACUCCGUG
rnacentral:rRNA from 1 species